rnacentral:rRNA from 1 species
UACGAAGGGGGCUAGCGUUGCUCGGAAUCACUGGGCGUAAAGGGUGCGUAGGCGGGUUUUUAAGUCAGAGGUGAAAUCCUGGAGCUCAACUCCAGAACUGCCUUUGAUACUGAGAAUCUUGAGUUCGGGAGAGGUGAGUGGAACUGCGAGUGUAGAGGUGAAAUUCGUAGAUAUUCGGAAGAACACCAGUGGCGAAGGCGACACACUGGCCCAUUACUGACGCUGAGGCUCGAAAGCGUGGGGAGCAAACAGG